UACAGAUUUUCUUAAUAGAAGUUUGAGAAGUAUU
rnacentral:misc_RNA from 1 species